AGAACAGGUGGAAGAGUGAUGUAUCAAGAAUUAGGCCACGAUCAUCACAUGAUUUGUGAGAAGGAAGUAUUGCCAGAUACUACAAAGCGAAGCAAAUUUGGGUUGAUAUUAAGGCCACUAUCAGCACAUCUUACUUUUAUCCAAAGAUUCUCCUUAUUAUGAUCAAAAGAUCAACCUUGUACUGAUCAGAAUGUAAUGUACAAUUUGCAAAACUAUUGAUCACAAUGUAAUGUACAAUUUGCACUUUGCAAUUUGCAAAAUAUGGAAUAUUCAUACAAUAACUGUCUUUUUUGCUUUUUUAGCAUCAUACUUUUUACACAACACUAGAAUCACUACUUCAUCUAAUUCUUUUCUUUUUCUCCAAUUUUCUCCUAAAGCAAAGACUAAUAGAACCAUGAAAAAGAACCUGUAAUAGCUGCAAGAAGUUCAAUAUCCAGAAGAUAAACAUAACCAUGAAAAAAGAAACUCUAAUAUCUACUUUCAAGCAGUUCAAUAUACCAAAACACACACUGAACCAAGGAAAACAAAAGACAAUUGGUGCACUUGACAGAUUUGACUGAACUGCAAACUCAGGAGCAAAUUACAAUGUUGUUCCAGACCUAGGAUAAACAUCAAUUCUUAAAAUCAAAAAAGAAAAAACAAUAGCAAAUCUUGUCUGCAUCUCCAAAGUAACAUCCAAGCAAAUGUAAAGUGACUCCUCUGAUUGAUCAUGCACACCAGCAGCUAAUCAUCCUGAAUACAACAUGUACAUGAAAACAAGAUGAUAUUAAUUCUUUAUAAAAAAAAAUAAUCAAGAUUAUAGGAAUGGUAAAGAGGUAAUAAUAUUACCUGUGAUGAACUAUCAUUAUCUAUAUCUUCUCCACUAAGAUUGUCAGCAGAUCUAAAAGAGAAAUAACAUAUAUUUAGCACACACUGUCCAAAUAUUAACAAUAAAAUUGGAAAUAUGUUGGAUAUGUAUUCUUACUGAUUGAGAUUGAGCAACACGGGACAGUUGCGUUUGUCAUGGGUUUGCCCAUCUUUGCC
rnacentral:lncRNA from 1 species